rnacentral:lncRNA from 1 species
GCCAGUUCUGGCCCCAUCGGUGAAUCAUCCGCACCUGCAGCACUGCUGGAGCCACUGCAAACCCGGGGUACUUGCUGGUUUGGGUUUAUUUCCACGUGUUGCUGAUUAAACCUACCCAGAAUGGAUGACCCCAUCAUUGCGUGAGCCAAGUUGCUGUUGCCACCAACCUAAAGACAUAUGGAGCCAUAAGGACAGGAACCAUUCUGUUUAUUUCUGUUUUAGACCUUCCACGUAUAUGGGAUUUUGAACUCAUCUUCAUCAGUCAUAUGAGGGAACCGAUA